GGAAUGUUCAGAGUGGUGAUGUUUAUCUUCCUAAGCCACUGUUAUGUGUGAUGGAGCCCUGCGUUCCUGGGAAUGGCUGAGCACCUGCCUGCCCACAGAAGUACUUGUGAUCCUUUACAAGAUGCAUGCUUUCCGAAAUUAAAGGAAAUUUGAAAUUUCUUCAAUCAAACACAAAAAUAAAUGCAAAACAACUGAAGGACAAUAGACUGCAGCCAAAGACCUGAGCAGUUUACUUCAAAGUUUAGCUCUUUGUUAUUUCCUUUAAUGAUGGACACCAUAAGAAAAGGAGAUAAGCCAUUGACAAGGCCUCUCAAUGUGUGAAUGACAGAGGAUUCACAGAUAAAGUGAUAGUCAUUUGCAGCUCUGGCAAUAGCUGUGUUUCCUUGCUAGCCAGGGUCAAAAUGGCUCCUACAUCAGAUAAACUCCACAUUUUAUGCCCUGCUACUAAAGUUGGACAAACUCCUGUACUGCUCCUACCAUCCACCGUGCAAAGUGAAGUCCACAGUAAAACUAUUCUAACAGAAUAAAACUAUUCUGACAGAAGAAAGCCUGUUGGAAUUUGGGAAGUGUAUGCAUCAGCCAACAGUUGACAGCAGUGCACAAUAAUGCAUUGACCUUAUGCUUCCAGAACAGGAAGGUAAUCUUUUAUGUCUCUAUUUUCAUGAAGGAGGGUGUUCACCUUUAUCAGGAAUAGUAAAACUGCAAUUGUCUUUGUUCUAAAACCUCCACUGAUGAUAAUCUACAUGCUAAAUGUCUGUCUGAGACUGAUUAAAAUGCCUGAGUUAAUACCAUUGCAAGGAGAAGAAAAAGCUACCAAUGACUACAAAUGACAAUGGGAAAGAGAAUAAGUUGUGCAUAAACACCAGAAGAAACCAACUGUUGGUGGAGCUCAGAACACUAGUUAUAAUUGCGGUGAUCCCCACUGAGAGUGAUGCUGCUGCUUUGGGAACCUAGAAAUCAACCCUUCAAGAAUACCACUUAAUGUGGGCUUAAACAUGGAACUAAAUAUUAGGCCUCCCUCUGCUUCUUUAAGCUUCUUCAACAUCAUGAAGAAUCCUUGAAAUGCCUAAGUGGGUGUCUGGACAUGCUUCUUCUUUCAGGUUGGUUCUCUGUUGGUUCUCUUUCUGUUUGAACAUGGCAGAAGGAAGAGCCCUAUGCCAACCAACACAAGCUGUUCCGGGAGUCACUAGUCAGUGCAAGAGCGCAUAUACAGCCACUAUGGAUAAGGGAGCUCUGAAAUGAUUUCAAGCGUUCCUAAAGCUCUACCACAUGCCAGAAAAGAGAACUUAAUGAAGCAGAGAACUAUAAACCUCUUUAUCAUCCCUUCCAUCCUAACUGCACUAUGAAAAACCACAGAAGAGGUAACAUUCCAAAUUUGAAAUGACAUAAUUAAAUUGCAGAGCACGACAACAAAUGGUUAAAUUAUUCUUUUCACUUAAAAGCUCCUUUCACUUUAAUAGUAUUGUUAAUGACUUUCUCAUGCAGGAUUGCGAGGUCUGAUUGUUUAGCUCAUCUAUAUUAUUCUCUCCUGUUUUAU